UGGGGAAUAUUGCACAAUGGGCGCAAGCCUGAUGCAGCCAUGCCGCGUGUGUGAAGAAGGCCUUCGGGUUGUAAAGCACUUUCAGCGAGGAGGAAGGUGGUGAGCUUAGUACGCUCAUCAAUUGACGUUACUCGCAGAAGAAGCACCGGCUAACUCCGUGCCAGCAGCCGCGGUAAUACGGAGGGUGCAAGCGUUAAUCGGAAUUACUGGGCGUAAAGCGCACGCAGGCGGUUUGUUAAGUCAGAUGUGAAAUCCCCGGGCUCAACCUGGGAACUGCAUUUGAAACUGGCAAGCUAGAGUCUCGUAGAGAGGGGUAGAAUUCCAGGUGUAGCGGUGAAAUGCGUAGAGAUCUGGAGGAAUACCGGUGGCGAAGGCGGCCCCCUGGACGAAGACUGACGCUCAGGUGCGAAAGCGUGGGGAGCAAACAGGAUUAAAUACCCUGGUAGUCCACGCUGUAAACGAUGUCGAUUUGGAGGUUGUGCCCUUGAGGCGUGGCUUCCGGAGCUAACGCGUUAAAUCGACCGCCUGGGGGAGUACGGCCGCAAGGUUAAAACUCAAAUGAAUUGACGGGGUCAUAGCUGUUUCCU
rnacentral:rRNA from 1 species